rnacentral:rRNA from 1 species
AGUUUGAUCCUGGCUCAGGAUGAACGCUGACAGAAUGCUUAACACAUGCAAGUCGAUUCAAGUUACCUUCGGGUAAUGAGGAUGGCGGACGGGUGAGUAACGCGUAAGGAACUUGCCUCUUGGUCUGGGACAACUGUUGGAAACGACAGCUAAUACCGGAUAUUAUGAGAUUCUCGCAUGAGAAACUUAUGAAAGCUAUAUGCGCCAAGAGAGAGCCUUGCGUUCCAUUAGCUAGUUGGUGGGGUAAUGGCCCACCAAGGCGACGAUGGAUAGCCGGCCUGAGAGGGUGAACGGCCACAAGGGGACUGAGACACGGCCCUUACUCCUACGGGAGGCAGCAGUGGGGAAUAUUGGACAAUGGACCAAAAGUCUGAUCCAGCAAUUCUGUGUGCACGAUGAAGGUCUUCGGAUUGUAAAGUGCUUUCAGUUGGGAAGAAGCAAGUGACGGUACCAACAGAAGAAGCGACGGCUAAAUACGUGCCAGCAGCCGCGGUAAUACGUAUGUCGCAAGCGUUAUCCGGAUUUAUUGGGCGUAAAGAGCGCGCAGGUGGUUAAUUAAGUCUGAUGCGAAAGCCCACGGCUUAACCGUGGAGGGUCAUUGGAAACUGGUUGACUUGAGUGCAGAAGAGGGAAGUGGAAUUCCAUGUGUAGCGGUGAAAUGUGUAGAGAUAUGGAGGAACACCAGUGGCGAAGGCGGCUUCCUGGUCUGUAACUGACACUGAGGCGCGAAAGCGUGGGGAGCAAACAGGAUUAGAUACCCUGUAGUCCACGCCGUAAACGAUGAGUACUAGCUGUCGGAGGUUACCCCCUUCGGUGGCGCAGCUAACGCAUUAAGUACUCCGCCUGGGAAGUACGCUCGCAAGAGUGAAACUCAAAGGAAUUGACGGGGACCCGCACAAGUAGCGGAGCGUGUGGUUUAAUUCGAAGCAACGCGAAGAACCUUACCUAAGCUUGACAUCCUUUUGACCGAUGCCUAAUCGCAUCUUUCCCUUCGGGGACAGAAGUGACAGGUGGUGCAUGGUUGUCGUCAGCUCGUGUCGUGAGAUGUUGGGUUAAGUCCCGCAACGAGCGCAACCCUUGCCUUUAGUUGCCAGCAUUAAGUUGGGCACUCUAGAGGGACUGCCAGGGAUAACCUGGAGGAAGGUGGGGAUGACGUCAAAUCAUCAUGCCCCUUAUGCUUAGGGCUACACACGUGCUACAAUGGGUGGUACAGAGGGCAGCCAAACCGCGAGGGUGAGCUAAUCUCUUAAAGCUGUUCUUAGUUCGGAUUGUACUCUGCAACUCGAGUACAUGAAGUUGGAAUCGCUAGUAAUCGCAAAUCAGCAUGUUGCGGUGAAUACGUUCUCGGGUCUUGCACACACCGCCCGUCA